rnacentral:sRNA from 1 species
CUUUGACACGGCCGCACGGAUCUCUGC